GUCGUUCACAUGUGUUGAACAAAUCUGAAACGGCCGCGAGCCGUAAGUAGAACGUUUCUUCAGUCCUGCGGUUGAGUUCAAACCGUAAUGAGAAGCGAAUACUGGAAAUGCUCAGCGGGUUGGUAAGCACGUUAGUCAGAUGAGCUAUCUCUCAGAUGCUGCAAGCAACAGACGAUUUUGAAAAUUCCAGGAGGUUACCAAUGGUGAGGGAAUGGCGGAAGCUGGAACACUCAGCACAAAUGGCGAUGGACACGGACCCAAGUUUAGAAUGGAGUCAGCAUUUCAGUCGUUCCCUGCCGUCAACCCUUCUUCCUUAUGAGCAAAUUUAUGCUGAAAAACAAAAUGCUGCCAAGCAAACAACCCUCACCACUUUCUUCAAACCGGUGCCGGCAGUUCUAAGAGUUCUGUGAGUCUUCCUUCACCCCUCGCUGUGCUCGAUAUGAUCCUGACGACCACAACCAUCCACCUUAUCCAUGUAAAGCUGCCUGACACCACAACCACUCAUCUCCCAGAGCGAACACACCUGCCACUGUUGAUAUGUUGAUGACAGCUUCGUAGUGAGGCCUCAUGGACUCCAGGCACUCCAACAAUUCCACGACCAUCUGGACAGUAUGCAUCCAAACAUUCAAUUUACGAUGGAGAUGGAGAAGAAUGGUUGCCUCCCGUUCCUGGACAUUCUAAUAUGACAGAAACUGGACAGUAGCCUCGGGCAUGGCGUCCAUCAGAAACCCAUACACAUGGUCUUAAACCUCAACAAUAUCAGCCACCAUCACACCUCCCAAUGUAGAUCUGUUCUUUCUACUUUGAUUAAACAUGCAAAAACUAUUUUGGACCUGGAGAGUCUCCACAAGGAAAUAAGAUGAUUAUGCAUGAUGUUCCUACAGAAUGGCUACAAGGUGAAGGAAGUCAAUCGUUACCACCUGUCUUCCCUAAAUUUCCAUGGUUUCUGGAAGGACCACCAAGAUCCUGAAGAAAUACCAGAUUAAUACCAUCCAGAAACCUGUAAGGAAGCUCAAAAUGACAGCUUAUGCGGUUCAAAGAUGACCUGAGACUCAGGUUGGCUGGUGCUUACAAGAUUCCCUGUGAAUGUGGAGCAGCAGAUAUUGCUCAGACAGGAUGCAUGGUGGAAACCCACAUCAUGGAGGGUAGGAGGUGUAUCUGUUUGGAUUACCCAGAGUAAUCAGCAAUAGCAGAACUUUGCAUUCACAAUGGCCAUAGGAUUGACUUUGAUGGCACAAAACUACAGUGCCAUGUCAGUGGCUUUUGGUACUGCCUGGUAAAGGAAGCCAUUGAAAUAAGACUAGAGGAAAAGAAUUUUAACAAGGACGAAGGUCUCACUCUAAGUAAGAACCAGAAUUUGAUUGUAAACAAAGUGGAAAAGCAGAAACCUGAUUGGAUGAGGACUAACCAAUUAGGAGGGAUGGAUGGAUGACGGGGGUAUAAAUACCACCAGUCUAGACAUGCCCAGGCAUCAUUCCUGAUGAAGAUGGCAGAGUUGGUCAUCGAAACGUCGGUUAAAAUCGAUACCUGUAAAUGGCUGGAAAGCCCUUGAAGAGUUUAUUCAUCAUAAAUACUGGGAAAGCACUAGAUGCUUUUUCAGAUAUAAGGAAAAUGCCUAAAUAGCAUAGGUGAACUUAUAAAGAUCCCAAUCAUGAGUUUAAGAGAACUCAAGGGAUGAAAGGUUCUCAAGCUGCCCAGACCCGGUGGCAUGUACAUACUCAUUGAAGCUUCUCAAAUCUCACAGAAUUCUGUGAUACUAUCAGAGGAUCAGAAAGAAAUGCAAAAAUAUGACUCCCUUGCUGAGGAAUGGUGGAGGACAGAAGUUAGAAUACUAUAGGUCUGCUGACUUGAUAUCUGUUGUUGGCAAAAUGCUAGAGUCAAUAAGCAAACAACAAAAACAUAGGAAAUCAUUAGGAAAGCUUGAUCUUACCAAACCAUGAAAGGCUGAUCAUGUAGGACAAAUUUGUUUAAGUUCUUAAGAGACUGUAAUAAGUAGAUAGAUUACUAAAUAUGGUGUAUUGGUUGUCCAACAGACAUUUGUCAAGGAACGACAUAAAGGCUGGGUGUACAAAUUAGCUCAUGGCAUUA